AAAUUCAUAUGCAUUCAGCAGGAGAACAGGAAAGCACAGUCGACUCUGCGAUGCCAUCUGGAUCAGGUAUCGAAGUGAGUGGCGAGACAGGGCUUAAUAUUCUCAGAACAAUUCUGAGUAAACAAUCAAACCUUGAGGACGCAGACAUUGCAGCUGCAAUGCCGAAAAUCAGCUUCUCUCAAGAAUGGCACCAAAGUACUUUCAAGAAAUAGAUCAGUUUGUGGAGAACCACUUACCCUCGCUGCCACCAGAGGGAUCUCAAGUAAAGCAGAUGCAGGACUUUCUAAAGAGCGCACAGAGUAUUAUAUGCAAUGAGGUGCGCAGAUUAACACCUUUACUGAAAAAUGCUGGACUGCUAGUUCAUCUGAAGGACAGUUACAGCCGUCACCUCUUUACCAACCUGGACCUGCUACUAAACAGAGAUCUGUCUGUAAAACAGAUCUUCUGCCUUAUUAUGUGGGAAAAAGAUGUUUUCUUCAGUCCAGACUCAAAACUGAGUGUGUACGACCCUUCGCUGCUGACAGGAAGGUUUGAGAGAGCAAAGCAGAAACUGCUUCAAGUACUUCAGUGCCUGAAUUAUGCUAUUUUUGAUGCUAAAAAAGUUGGUCCGACUUUGAUGCAUGCAGUACAAAUACUCUGUAGUGGAGAGCUGCAUGGUUUUGUUCAGAAGUAUGUGGAUGCUGAGAACAAACGUCUAAAAAAAACAAACGUUUACAGAGACAAACUCUGUGUAUCUGUUUCGGAUAAUCAACACCAGCAUGCAACUCAGGCCAAUUUAGAAGGUUAUUUUGAGAAAAGAGAUGGGCAUAUUGAUAUCCUGAUGGAGGCAAUCCAAAGGCAGUGUGCAUCUCUGCCUGAGACUGCUUCAGAGAUCAAAACGGUCAUUGUGAAAAUAGCUUACGACAGUGUUUCCAAAGUGUACCUGGAAUGCUUGAUGAAGACAAAUGUCAGAAAGCUAGAGAUGCUUUGGGGAAAUGCUGAGGAAAAGAUAAAAGAGGAUGUUCAACAUUUUCACCAAAUAUUCUCUGACCUGAAUGGCAUUGCUGCCCAGGAGAGCCAGCUCCUUCAGAGAAUGAGUGUUUUGCUUUACAGUGAUGUAAAAACGAAGGACGUUACCAAUGCUUUGUUCAAAGACUUCCCUCAGGAGAGUGAGCAGUAUGUACCUGGUCUGCUGCGCUGGAAGGGUGUGUUAUUGGAGCGACAGGUGAAGGAAGUGCUGGAUGAGAUUCAGGAACCUUGCCAAAAUCCAGAUCCUACACAUGUCACCUUUGUUCUUCUGAAGGGAUUUUUUUGUUGUAAAUAGCUUGAGGUCAGAGGUCAGUAAAAGUAAGCUAUGGAGAAUGUUCUCUGAACAUUGUGCUAUUUAUAUUUUCAAGCAUUCAGAUCUGAUGUUAAUUUUUAAAAUAUGUCCUAAAUCUUUUUUGUUCACACCUGUCUAAAACAAACUGUUGGUGUUCCGAACAAAGUGAAAAUACAGGUGAAUUGGAAAUAAUUACUCUGUAAAGACUGACAUUUGAAAUAAUAGUUAGAACAAUUUUUUUUUUUUUUAAUGGGACAGUUUAUUAAAAAAUGUAUAUGCCAACUUACAUAAAAUGCAUUUAAAUAUUAGUUGUCACUCUGUAUCUUCCAAUAGUAUGUCUUACUAAAAUGAUAUUUAAAUGCUUAGUUUUAUUAUCAAAGCUCUGUAGUUUUUAUUGUUGGGCAAAACAUAUAAUGCAAUGCAAUGCAAUAAUUGUUGAGAAAUGAACAAAUAAAUAUUUCUAGAAAGCCUUAUGUGUAAUAUUC
ensembl:lncRNA